UUUUCCCCGAACUUUGGUAGAUAUAUUUUUCUUAGAUUGCUUCACUGUGCAAUUCUAUUCUUUUGGAAUCAUCUUAUUGGAGCUAAAACUGGAGAACUGGUAGAUGGAAAUUUACCUUGACAAUUCACUGAUCAAGCACCCUCAGAGGACCCAGUGCUUUGGAAAGGGUUUUAAAAAAACAGCUUCUCAGCAUGGUUAGAAACAAAGCUGGUGGGUUCAUAUUAUUUUCUCCUCCUUCCAAACCACAAGCAGGAUUUCAUUUGACAAUUUACAUGCUUCUCACCACUCCUGGAUCGGGUCAGUGUAAAGGAACUUCUAGUAGAGAAGGGAUGUGAUGCCAGCUCUCUGAAACGCUUUCCUGUAAGUGAGAAAAAACAUCUUUGUCUCAAGCUUCAUUAUUCCUAAGAAAGGCGGCUUAUUACGCUGCAUUCAGAACGAGCUGAUGUGAUUUCAUGUUUGUAUAAAUAACACUUUGGCUUCAUCUCACCUGCGUUUUCUAGAAAUCUUCAUUCUGCUUCCUUAGAUUUUGGGCUAAAACCUUCAUAACACACUAUGGGAGAAAACAAACAAAUACUUUUCUACAUUUCUUCAUUGGUUCAUUUUAUAACUACACCGUGGAGACUCUCGCUAAGCUGUUCAGAGAAAUCGGAGGACAGACAGCCUUGGUGCCACAUCUGAGACCUUUGCUUACAGUAGCUGACCUGCUCAACAUGGCCCUAACUUGUUUACCUAAUAGAAUAUUACGAUACAAGUAUGAAUUCAGAAUUUCCUUGCCCACUUCCCAAUCUUUCUGAUGAUUAUUAGUAGUCUGUGAAGGUUUUCAGGUGGCCCACAAUCUAUCUCUUAUAUCAAGUAAAGAAAUGUAUUCUUGAUAUAGAUCAAUCGUCAGUAAAGAAAGAGCAAAGGCUUUGGAUUCAGACAGACUUGAACUUGACUUUCAGCAAGUUGUUGUGUGGUUGAAAAGUGUCACUUAUGAUGUGCUCAGUGCUGUGGUUGGCAUAUAGUAGACAGGUCAGAGGUAGUAACAGGUAUUGUAAUGAAAAUCCAAAUUGCCAGUGUGGAACAUUAUCUUAGAGCCUGCCUUUUCCAACAAGAUUUUUUGCAGGAGAUAUUCACAGGAGUUUGGUGCUCUGUUAUUUCUAUUAACAAGCUGGAUCUUGGCAGUGUAUGUGAGCUUUAGGGUCAGGGAAGGGGCACUGUGGAGAGGCAUGGACUUCAUAGCCCCAGGUGAUGAAUCCAUCUUCAUUCCUUCCCCUGUGUGCUACCCCCACUGCCACCAUGGCUGAGGAAGCCCACAGAAUUACCAAGGAAUACGUGUUGAUAUCUCAUAGCAGAUUUGGCCCAUCUGUUAUCUCCAAGAAGGGCAUUCUGAGAGGACAAAACUUGCUCAAUACUCUAAAUUGAGAAAGAAAAAACGAAAACACCACCUAGUUUAUUUAGACAAAAUUAUCAACUGAAACCCAGCAGGCUAACAAUGCCCAUCCCUUGUGAGAAAGAUACUCCAAAGGGUUUUGGAGACUUAGAAAACAUGUUUUUUAUCUUGCUCUUGAGAAUUUUAUGAUUUGGUGGAAGGUGAUUCCCUGUUUUAAACAAAGACGAAUAAAAGUACCAAUCUGUACUUACGUGCCUAUGUAACUUUGCCAGUGGGCAGUGCUUAAGCUGAAUGCAGAUAGUAAAGGAAACAAGAUUAUGCAAGGACUGGCUGGUGGUGAACUUCUCAACUGCCUUCAGAGUAUUGUUCAGGAUUGUCUGAGUAGUUUCUUAAGUGUCAUAGUUUUGUUCAGCAUUACUGAUGCCAAAGACAAAAGGAGAACCAGUAAGGAAAUUGAUUCUAUUCAGGCUAUUACAACAAGGAGUGCACACCAGGUCCAAAAAUCAGAAUGCCUUAGCACAGUGGUUUUGCCCUCGACUGUCACAGGGAGGAACACAGCAUGAUUUACAGUUGGGGGUAUUGUGCAAUUAGGUGGAGUCCCAGGCACUUAGCUGAACAGGAGAUGUUUAUCUCUUUGUCUAGCCAGUUUCAGGGGGAAGGACAGUUCUGGUCUUAAGCUAAUCAUUUAUGAGAUAAAGAACAACAAGGUGGAGGGUCUGUGUCUGGCCUUUUCAGCUGGUUCAGGAAAAAGGAAGGUCUGUGUUUGGCCUCAUCAUCAACCAGGGGGUCAUCCAUGUCUUAUGGGAGUCAUGGGAAACAGUGGACAAGCAGUGUUACCUCAGUCCCAUGGGAAAAGGUGGUUCUUGGUGCUGAGCCACUUCCUGAAACACAGAAGUUGGAAGAGAUUUCUGAAAACCAAAAUUAUGGGGAUGGAUUCCUUAGGCAUUACUGUUCCACAGAAGCAUAGGACUCAGACAUGGUGUCAGAAACGUCAUCCUGAAGACAGACAAUUCUGUGCAUCAAAGUUUUCUUGUCCCACUGUGCAUUCAAGGGAGACUUAAAUGGAGUUGUAAAUAUUUUGAUUAAGCUAACCAAGGGUCACAUAUAAUUUCUGAAAACGCAGGUAUCAAAUACUUGAUGGAUUUAGAGAAUGUGUGUACAUGGAGCAAAGAGGAGAGUUGAAACUAUGAACAGCAAAUUCUUGAUUCUCUAAUAUGAAGAAGGAUGUGGGUAGCACAGAAUGUAUUUUAACAAACAGGAAGCCUGUGAUUGAAUCUUACUUUGUCUAACAAUUUGAUGAAAGUCUCUGGGUCUCAGUCAUAUUGUCCACAAAAUUUGGCAAGCACUAUUGUCAGGAUUGUUAUAACGUUAAAACAGAAAACAAAUGUGAAUAUAUUUUGAAUAUUUUAAAACGCUCUGCAUAUAUUUUUAAACAUUCAAGUACUAUCAAUUAAUGUGAUUACGAACAUUUAUUGUAUUCAAUUGUGUCUUUAUAUUGGAUGAUACGGAAUAUAUGUAAACUUCACUGUUUAAAAAAAAAUCUCAAACUGAAAUGUAAAAGGGCAACUUUUCUUCACAAUUUUAUACUAUGUGUCAGACUCCUUUUGUUCUUUAUAGGUUCCUGUCUAUCAAAAGCAAAUGAAAGUUCUCCAAGGUACACAUUCCCAGGGGCACAGGUUGAGCCAUUCCUUGAAAGUUACUGCCUUGGCAAGCUUGUAACCAAGAGGAAUAUAUGCUGUCUAAGCUGUCAUUCUUUGCCCUUUAGGGUUAGGCUGGAGGUGAGAGAACUAAUUUGGAGUCACCUCUUCUCUUCAGCUGGCCCAAACACUUUCAUUUUGGAUCUUUUAUGUCGUAAUUUCCACUUCCCUCAGUGCUCUUGGAGUCAGACAUCUUACGAUUACAUGUUUUGUAGCAAUGCUUUUAGUUCUUUCUAUUAUUGCUGGUGGCCUGAUUAAGUGGUCGAAAUAAUAAAAUCCAAAGAAA